rnacentral:lncRNA from 1 species
AGUGAAAAGAUAAUCUUAGUUUGUGCUGAUCAUUGAUAAAAUCUGAUUUUAUAUAUUACAUAUGAUAUUUAUGAUCUAAUUUAGAUGUGAUCUAAGGUUGUGAUCAGAUUUGAUAAAAUUUAAAUUAAAUCUAAAUUCAAGCAUAUGUAAUAUGUGAUUAGAUUAGAUGAUUCGAUUAGCAAGUACUUGGAUUGGAUUGAUCACCAGACCGUCCGAUCAUAGAAGCAAGAAAGAUUUAAAGGCCCUCUCUUUCUAUUCGAUGGGGUGGUCUUAUGGUAUGUAGGGGUAUCAUGUGAUU